rnacentral:rRNA from 1 species
GCAGCAGCCGCGGUAAUACGGAGGGUGCAAGCGUUAAUCGGAAUUACUGGGCGUAAAGCGCACGCAGGCGGUCUGACAAGUCAGAUGUGAAAUCCCCGGGCUUAACCUGGGAACUGCAUUUGAAACUGUCAGGCUGGAGUCUUGUAGAGGGGGGUGGAAUUCCAGGUGUAGCGGUGAAAUGCGUAGAGAUCUGGAGGAAUACCGGUGGCGAAGGCGGCCCCCUGGACAAAGACUGACGCUCAGGUGCGAAAGCGUGGGGAGCAAACAGGAUUAGAUACCCCGGUAGUCCCUGUCUCUUAUAC